rfam:Felis catus isolate Cinnamon breed Abyssinian chromosome B1, whole genome shotgun sequence.
GCCUGUGUGGCUUAGUCGGUUAAGCGUCUGACUUUGGCUCAGGUCACGAUCUCACGGUUUGUGAGUUCGAGCCCCGCGUCCGGCU